UGGGGCUCCAGGGUGCCCAGGCAUCAGGUGGUUCUUCUCUCCUGGCAUUUAUGCACAGCUGGCACUUCAGCAAGAACCUAAAGUCCCUCACGUCUAUUCUUCCUUUUUCCUGGGGGCAAAAUCACUUCCAGAUUGCUUCCUUUAAAUGGAGGCCAGUAAGGGGAUAGUGACACAGUAGACGCUUCUGUGCUGUAGCCCAAACACAUCUCUGCAGGAUGCCAGGGGGCUAGGGCCUGGGCACACCAGCUCCAGAGGCUCCAGGUGCUUUGCUGCAACUUCCUACAGGGCCAAUUAGCUGUCCAGUGUCCGGGUUCAAUGACCGUGCUUUACAAGCAAAUGGCCUGGACUCAUUACACUCUGACGACUGUUUACUUGAAGCUUCUAUCUCAGUUUUUCAUCUGUAAAAUGGGAUAAUGCUCCCUCUUGGGGUUAUUGUGAAGUUGGAAUGCAAGAGAUCUAGAAGUCCUAUGUCCAAAGAGGGUUUGACAGUUAAAGUUUAUUAUUAACUUGGCCGUAUUUAGAAUCAACACAGAAGCAUACCUUUGGGCAGUUCAUGAGCAUGUCUCCAGAAAUAUUUAACUGAGGUGGGGUGGGAGAGCCCAUCCUUAAUUUAGGUGGCAUUGACCUGUUGUGGGAUUUUCAUCAGAGAAGACUGCUCAGACAUUGGUUUAAGCCAAUGAAAGUCUUUAUUAGCCUGCCUGUGACUACGCUGGAUGUUCAGGAUCCACGUGUACAACUGAGCCCUUCUCAGGGUGAGCUUUUAAGCACAAAAACCAUGUCCUGGGUUGACAUUCUUCAGUUAACAAGAGCAGUCAGCCAGAAGCGGAACUACAGAAGCCAAAAAGAAAGGUUGUGCAGUCUCUUUUUAUACUCGUGGAACUAUUCUGAAGAGGAUAGAUCUUGUCUCAUUCUCAACAUAAGUAUAUUAGUUACUGUUUUCAAGUUGUUGAGACAAAAAUACCGGACAAAGAGACUUAACCGAAAGGCUUAUUUUGGCUUACAGUUGGAGGGUCCAGUGCAGCAGGUGGAGAGGUUUUGGCCACUGGGGUAUGAAGCAGCCGCUCGUACAACUCCUGCAGUCAGGAAGCAGAGGUGGAUGGAGCCUGGUCUUCAGGUUGAUAUCUCUCUUUUAGUCAUGCUGGGAUUGCAGCCCAUGGAAUGAUGCCAGCCACAUUUAGGGUGGAUCUUCCCACUUAAUUAACUUAAUUUAUCUAAUAUAUAGUAACACAAUUUAUAGAAUAUCUUAUGGGCAUACCCAGAGGCUUGGUUAGGUGGCUCUAGGUUCUGUCAAGCUGACUGACAAUCGGUGUUAACCCCCACAAUAGGACUGUGUCCUUAUGGUGUCAGGGAGCCAUCUUUUCAUAAAGUGGGACUUCCUGUAGUGCGUUGGUCUGAUUCCAAUGCAGUUAUUUUUGUACGCGUGCACUGCAGGCACUGUCACAAGCUUCCACCAGCCGGAAUGUAAUGUUUGGUUGUCUCUGUCACUGAUGUUGAAGCCAGUGAUCAUCUUCACCCAGAUUCAUUAUUUCCUUCGGGGUUUUCAGAAGCAGUUUUCCAAUGCUCCCACCCUUACUUGCUCCGGGGUCUCUCUCAAUGGGGAAAUUAUUUCACUAUCAACCUUUUGGUUGCUUUAUGAUAAAGAAAAACAGGUCCAGUAGUGGUGGCACAUGCCUUUAAUCCCAGCACUCUGGACACAGAGUCAGGAGGAUCUCGGAGUUUAAAGCCAUCCUGGUCUGCAGAGAGAGUUUCUAGAUAGCUAGGGCAACGUAAAGAACCCUGACAGGAAGACAAAAAACAGAAACAAACAACAAAAGAAAUAAAAGAGAAACCAGUGGCAUGCUUUUUUUGCAUUUAACGAAGAGUGUUCUGGUUGUCUCAUAUAUUCUGGAGGUGGCCAGCAGGUUGCCUUGUUUUAUAUUUUCAUAAGGAACUCAUGGAUACAGACGUAGUCAAGUGUUUCAAAUCUGUUCGCUCUUACUGUUGAAACUCAGAUUUGACUUUCUCACGCCUGACAUGAGGACAACUUUUCUCAUCUGCUCCCUAAGUUCUGGCAUGACCACAACCUCAAUUGUCACAGAUAAGUCCCUCGCUUUCUGGAAAGAAAACCUGUCCACGUUUGGAAUGGACCACUUAAGAGACAAUAUGUUUAUACUGGUAUUUUCAGUUCAAAUUACAAUUAUAGGACUUAAAAAACUUUAAUUUGAUUUUGAAUCUUUUGCUUUUAUGCCAAAGAUUUUGAUGUUUGUUUUGAGACAUGGUUCCACUUUGGAGCUGUGGCUGGCUGGAAAGCACUAUGUUGAUCCAACUGGCCUCAAACUCACAGAGAUUCACCUGCCUCUGCCUCCUGAGUGCUGGAUUAAAGGUGGGUGUCAUCUCUCUAGGGAAAAUCUUAUUUUUUUUUCUUUUUUCUUUUCGGGGUUGGGGACCGAACCCAGGGCCUUGCGCUUGCUAGGCAAGCGCUCUACCACUGAGCUAAAUCCCCAACCCAAAAAUCUUAUUUUUAAACAAUACUGUAAUUGCUUCUAUGCUUUAUUAUCUUCUUGGAACACGCAAACACACACAUGUACUUAUAUACUUACACACACAUACACAUACACACAUGGAUACGUACACACAUGUGCUCCUUUGCAUAUGGUAUGCCUGUGUGUUUGCGCAUCGACAGUAAAAUUGGUUACCGGAAAUAGCCACUUUUAUUUUUCUUGGCAGGAUUUUUCUCUGUAUCUCUGACUGUCUGGAAAUUCACUCUGCAGACCUGGCUAGCCUCAAACUCAACAAUCCACCUGCCUCUGUCUCCUGAGUGCUGGGAUUAAAGGCCUGUGCCACCAUGCCUGACAAGACAUAGCUUUCAGUGACUUCACACGCUUCUCACCAGAGCUACACAGCUGAGUUAGUGUGGCUCGAAGCAGUUACAGCAGCCUAUCUCUGCAUCGUUAAGCCAUCAUCUCGAUGCAGUUAAACUUAUUUUAUUUUGCCCUUGAUUUAAAGAAUUGCCUUUUUCAUCUGACUUAACAUUAUUUGUAAUUGCCUCAAACAUCCCUAUGGUUCCCAAAACAAAUCUAGAGAGCAAAGUAUUAGCCAGAGAAAUAUAGAUUCUAUCCCAAAUUCAUCGUUUUAAUCUUUACCUUUAGCUGACAAUUAUUUAUUUUAGAGCUUGUCUUUCCAUUGCAGAACCAUACAGGUGCCCCCUCCCCCUCAGGUCAGUGAAUACUUGCUGUAUGUAAUGGAGCCCAUCUUGCUUAUUCUCCUGAUCCUGGAUUCGUAGCCAUGUGCAGACAUGCUCUGCACUCUCUCCUGAAAGUGCAUGCACAGUAUUCUGUGAAUUCUUAUUUUCUGAGAAACUGGGUGUUAGGACUUAAAUAGACAGAUCUGGGAGUGGACACGGUCAGCUCAAAAAUAGGGCUGCACUGAUGUAUGGAUAGAUUCUGAGAAUAUUGGCAUUGGGACAAUACUAAACCUCCAAUACAGGAAUGAGGAUGUCCCCGCAUCUGUGUAAGUCUCACUUAAGAUCUGUGGAAAGAGGAACGCCAGUGUGUAUCUGCUCUCUUUCUUCCCUCUUUUUCACUUAGGCUAAGACCCCAGGCAUGGGGUGCUGCAUCUUUCCUCUCAGUCAAGCCUCUCUGGAAACGCCCUCAUGGACACACAAAGAAGUGUGUUUCCUAGGUAGCUCCAAACCUUGUCAAGGUGACCACGAAGACUAACAGUCUCAGCAGCUGAGACGCUGUACAGUUGCAUUGUGGGUGUUCAUGGAUGGUUAAAUCUGCCUCUCAAUAUUUUCUAGUUGGUGGUUGCUCUUAUGAAUGACGCUUUCCAGUGUACUUUAUGGUUGCUUAUGACAACUGUGGAAAUGUGAUGACUAUUUGUACACUGACCUUGGUCCUGAAUUUCCUCUUCUGUUUAGUGGAUGUAGGUGUUCUAUGUGCACUGCCAUUUGCGUCUUGCUCUCUAACCUUUGUGCCUUUGUUUUCCUCACUGGACAGUCUACGACCUUCAGUUCAAUGCAGAAUAGAGGGAUAAGUGCUGGUUUCCUUCACUGACUCCUCAUCUUAGAGGAGCCUUCUACCGCAUUUAUCUCAAGUGUGACGUUUUUGUGGUUACUCUUUAGCAGACCGUGGUGGCUAUACAAGGGCCCCUUACCAGUUUCCAGCUGUGGGGAAACAUAGUGAUGACAGCUCUGAAGUUGUGUCUUCAAACCCACCACCAUGUCUGCACUGAAGCCGCUCUUCCCACAGUGUCUUCCAGCACAUGCUCACAGACACGGGAGUCAUCUGUCCUGCCACAUAGACUUGAGGAUUCCCUCGUUACUACGGUUGGCCACUAAGACUGCAUUGUGGUUUCAAACUGCUCCAUACCAACCACUCUCUCUUCUUCCCUUUGCUGGGACACAUUUGCUCUGUGUCCUGACAGCUCAUUUGUCCUGAAGCUUUUUUGCUGUUUUUUUUUUUUUGAAGGAGCAAUUCUCCUAAUAAUGCAUGGUGGUUUGAAUGAGAAUGGCUCCCAACGGGCUCAUAUAUGUGAAUACGUGGCCCUCAAUUGGUGGAACUGUUUGGGAAGGUCUAGGAGGUGUGGCCUUGUUGGAGGAGGUGUGUCACUGGGGGUGGGCUUUGAGGUUUUAAAAGCCCAAGCCAUUCUGUUAUUGUUUUCUGCCUCAUUCCUGUGGAUGAGGAUGUGAGCUCUCAAUGCUUGCUCUAGUGCCAUGCCUACAUGCCUGCUGCCAUACUCCCUGAAAUGAUAAUCAUGGACUCUAGCCCUCUGAGCCCCAAAUUAAAUAUACUUUUAAAGUAAGUUGCCUGUGUCUUACCAUAGCAAUAAAAGAGUAACUAAGACAUAA
ensembl:lncRNA